rnacentral:rRNA from 1 species
UACAGAGGGGGCAAGCGUUGUUCGGAAUUACUGGGCGUAAAGGGCUCGUAGGUGGCCAACUAAGUCAGACGUGAAAUCCCUCAGCUUAACUGGGGAACUGCGUCUGAUACUGGAUGGCUUGAGUUUGGGAGAGGGAUGCGGAAUUCCAGGUGUAGCGGUGAAAUGCGUAGAUAUCUGGAGGAACACCGGUGGCGAAGGCGGCAUCCUGGACCAACACUGACACUGAGGAGCGAAAGCCAGGGGAGCAAACAGG